CUGUAAUGCACGGUAGAGUGAUAUGUAAAGUCCCGUUCUUUCGGGUGUUGCACCCUCCAUGGGUCCACAAAAUUGUGAGACUUUAAGGCUUGGCAGACAUGGGCAGAGAUUUGUCUCCAUUUAUGUAACGUUCGAAACUGCAGUGUCUCCGUGGUAGCAGAGUCCAGUGUAUCAUCUAACAAAAAAUUUGUGUCAACUCCAAUAAUCACCUCCCCGAACAUGUGCAACUGAGCUAAUGCCAAAACACUGGACAUAAACUGCGAUCGAUUUUCAUUCGGCCCAUAGACAUUAAUCAACGUAUAG